AGGAGCAAAGGGGACUCGGCCGCCAUGUUAGGAGUACUGGGAAGAUUCCUCGGAGCCAGGCAGAGGUUUUAGGGGUGCUCGGGAGUUGCGUGGUGGUUCAGUAGGGAUGGUGAGGUGGAGGACGAGCUGGUCGGAUAGCUGCGGGCAUAAACCUGGGAACCUGAGGGUGGAGGCCGUGCUGGGGGUUGGUGUAGGGCGGGACUGACUAGAAGCGGUAUCCACAGGCCCAGUGAGCCUCGGUCUCAGUUCCUGAAGGUGUUUCCUGGGGCCCUACGCUUCCUUCUCAGUUUUUUAGCUAAGAGGUUGAAAGAGUCGGUUUACUUCUGGGCUUGGAGUAUCUUAGAUCGGUUAACAGUACAGUUGAGAGAGUUGGUGUUUUUGUUGAGGUGCGGGGACCAUAGGCGGCGACCCUCGCCUUUAUUCUGAGAAGCCCACUUACACCCACAGAGUUGUGCUCGUCCUCCCAAAUGCAUUUCUGUUUUGCCGUUUGUUUUCCAACCCUCCUUCCCUCUCCCCAAGAUUUCAGAUUCACUGAUUUGUCAUACAGGCAUGAUUAGCAAAGGCGUCCGAAGAAAUCGUUGUUGGAAGGUAGCCAAGCUGGAAAGACGUUGGUUUGGCCCUGCGACACAAUGCUGCAAAAUGACUGGUUCAUAAACCACUAAGCUGCCUUGGCAGCCACAUGUUAUUGUUACCAGUAAGUAGUAUGAUAUUUUAUUCUGCCUGUCACAUACACAGUAGGCAUUCAAUAACUGUUUAAUAGAUAAAUAGGUUGUUAAAUUAUAAGACCCUAAUGGAUUGCUUAGUCCUUUAACAAUGAACUUACAUGCCCCCCACUUACUCAAGUCUUUUGUGACAGAUUUUGCGCUAGCAAAGUGCAGUUUCAGAAAAUCAAGGAAAUACAACAUUUCUUGAUGAAAUCCUACCUUGCCUCAACAGGAGACUGAAUUGGAGUCCUCGAUUCUCAGUACAUAAGAACUAGUCUAUGAAAGCAUCAGGAGAGAGGAUCGUAGUAUUUGAGAAUAAAACAUUAUGUAUUGAUAGUUG